GACGAACGCUGGCGGCGUGCUUAACACAUGCAAGUCGAACGGAAAGGCCCUGCUUUUGUGGGGUUCUCGAGUGGCGAACGGGUGAGUAACACGUGAGUAACCUGCCCUUGACUUUGGGAUAACUUCAGGAAACUGGGGCUAAUACCGGAUAGGAGCUCCUGCUGCAUGGUGGGGGUUGGAAAGUUUCGGCGGUUGGGGCUGGACUCGCGGCUUAUCAGCUUGUUGGUGGGGUAGUGGCUUACCAAGGCUUUGACGGGUAGCCGGCCUGAGAGGGGGACCGGCCACAUGGGGACUGAGGUACGGCCCAGACUCGUACGGGAGGCAGCAGGGGGGAAUAUUGCACAAUGGGCGGAAGCCUGAUGCAGCAACGCCGCGUGCGGGAUGACGGCCUUCGGGUUGUAAACCGCUGUCGACUGUGACGAAGCGUGAGUGACGGUAAUGGGUAAAGAAGCACCGGCUAACUACGUG
rnacentral:rRNA from 1 species